AUGGCGUCCAGGACCUCGGCGGCGUGCCUGCUGGCGCUGCUGGUGGCCAGCACGUUCCUGGCCGGCGACGCGUGCAACAGCUGCAAGCACCACACCCCUCCCCCGGCGUCCCCGUCCCCGCCCCCGCCAGCGCCUGCUACCCCGACGCCAUGCCCGCCACCGCCGUCAUCGGGCGGCACGGGGUACUGCCCCACGGACACACUGAAGCUGGGCGCCUGCGCCAACGUGCUGGGCCUAGUGAGCGCGGGCGUCGGCACCGCCCCCAGCGGCGGCGGCGACAAGUGCUGCAGCCUCCUCGGCGGCCUGGCCGACCUUGAGGCCGCCGUGUGCCUCUGCACCGCGCUCAAGGCCAACGUCCUCGGCAUCGUCCUCAACAUCCCCAUCAAGCUCAGCCUCCUCCUCAACUACUGCGGCAAGACCGCCCCCAAGGGCUUCCAGUGCGCUUAA
rnacentral:rRNA from 1 species